AUUGAACGCUAGCGGGAUGCCUUACACAUGCAAGUCGAACGGAGUGGCGAACGGGUGAGUAAUGUAUCGGAACGUGCCCAGUAGCGGGGGAUAACUACGCGAAAGCGUAGCUAAUACCGCAUACUAUUGGAGCGGCCGAUAUCGGAUUAGCUAGUUGGGGGGGUAACGGCUCACCAAGGCGACGAUCCGUAGCUGGUUUGGGCGGGCGACCAGCCACACUGGGAGUGAGACACGGCCCAGACUCCUACGGGAGGCAGCAGGGGGGAAGUGUGGACAAUGGGGGAAACCCUGAGCCAGCCAUCCCGCGUGAGCAAUGAAGGCCAACGGGGUGUAAAGAACUUUUGGCAGGAAAGCGGUACCUGCAGAAUAAGCACCGGCUAACUACGUGCCAGCAGCCGCGGUAAUAC
rnacentral:rRNA from 1 species